rnacentral:rRNA from 1 species
GAUGAACGCUGGCGGCGUGCCUAAUACAUGCAAGUCGAGCGAACAGACGAGGAGCUUGCUCCUUCGACGUUAGCGGCGGACGGGUGAGUAACACGUAGGUAACCUACCUAUAAGACUGGGAUAACUUCGGGAAACCGGAGCUAAUACCGGAUAAUAUUUCGAACCGCAUGGUUCGAUAGUGAAAGAUGGCUUUGCUAUCACUUAUAGAUGGACCUGCGCCGUAUUAGCUAGUUGGUAAGGUAACGGCUUACCAAGGCAACGAUACGUAGCCGACCUGAGAGGGUGAUCGGCCAGACGGGAACUGAGACACGGUCCAGACUCCUACGGGAGGCAGCAGUAGGGAAUCUUCCGGGAUGGGCGAAAGCCUGACGGAGCAACGCCGCGUGAGUGAUGAAGGUCUUCGGAUCGUAAAACUCUGUUAUUAGGGAAGAACAAACGUGUAAGGAACUGUGCACGUCUUGACGGUACCUAAUCAGAAAGCCACGGCUAACUACGUG